AUUGAACGCUGGCGGCAGGCUUAACACAUGCAAGUCGAGCGGAGAUGAGGUGCUUGCACCUUAUCUUAGCCGCGGACGGGUGAGUAAUGCUUAGGAAUCUGCCUAUUAGUGGGGGACAACAUUCCGAAAGGAAUGCUAAUACCGCAUACGUCCUACGGGAGAAAGCAGGGGAUCUUCGGACCUUGCGCUAAUAGAUGAGCCUAAGUCGGAUUAGCUAGUUGGUGGGGUAAAGGCCUACCAAGGCGACGAUCUGUAGCGGGUCUGAGAGGUUGAUCCGCCACACUGGGACUGAGACACGGCCCAGACUCCUACGGGAGGCAGCAGUGGGGAAUAUUGGACAAUGGGGGGAACCCUGAUCCAGCCAUGCCGCGUGUGUGAAGAAGGCCUUAUGGUUGUAAAGCACUUUAAGCGAGGGGGAGGCUACUGAGACUAAUACUCUUGGAUAGUGGACGUUACUCGCAGAAUAAGCACCGGCUAACUCUGUGCCAGCCGCCGCCGUAAUAC
rnacentral:rRNA from 1 species